GGUUAAGCGACUAAGCGUACACGGUGGAUGCCCUGGCAGUCAGAGGCGAUGAAGGGCGUGCUAAUCUGCGAUAAGCGCCGGUAAGGUGAUAUGAACCGUUAUAACCGGCGAUACCCGAAUGGGGAAACCCAGUGUGACUCGUCACACUAUCAUUAACUGAAUCCAUAGGUUAAUGAGGCGAACCGGGGGAACUGAAACAUCUAAGU
rnacentral:rRNA from 1 species